GAUGAAGAACGUAGCGAAAUGCGAUACUUGGUGUGAAUUGCAGAAUCCCGUGAACCAUCGAGUCUUUGAACGCAAGUUGCGCCCGAAGCCACUAGGCCGAGGGCACGCCUGCCUGGGCGUCACACGCCGUUGCCCCCCCAUCUACUCCUUCGGGAUUGCGGGGGGGCGGAUGAUGGCCUCCCGUGCGCCUAGCCGCGCGGUUGGCAUAAAUACCAAGUCCUCGGCGACGCACGCCACGACAAUCGGUGGUUGCGAAACCUCGGUUGCCCGUCGUGUGCGUUCGUCGCGCAUCGAGGGCUCUAAAAAAUGCUCGGCUCCGGCUGGGCUUUCAACGCGACCCCAGGUCAGGCGGGGUUACCCGCUGAAUUUAAGCAUAUCAAUAAGCGGAGGA
rnacentral:misc_RNA from 1 species